CCAGCUUCUGGGUUGUUGGAGGAAAGCGAGCGACCGUGACGUCUUCCCAGGAGGGCGCGGGGAGCGGGGGACGCUCCGGAAGGGCAUGACUGAGGGAACCAAGGACGAGUGGGCGAGAGACAGCCUUCCCCUUGCUGAGCGGAAAAGGGAGGGCCGAGAAUUCCUCAACUCGGUCCUGUUCGGAGAGCUAGAGGCGUUACCUUCUGGGCUAACAAGACUUGGACCUCCGAGGCCAGUCAGAGAAUGAAGAAUGAGGCACAUGCGUGUCAUACAAAGUUGUUCUGAGGAAGGGUGUCCAAAUCAAAAAGGACCAAGUUCUAAUGACCAAGUAACCAGCUGAAGAAAUCCAAACUUGGAAUUGUGGGAAUGAGUUGUGAUGCUGAUGCUGCUGGUCUGGGAUCCAUACUUUGAGAGUCACUGGUGACCUGAUACUACAAAGUAAUAGAACCCUUCCUCUGGAGUGUAACCUCCUCAAGGGAGCCCUUGAUUCAAGCCUCCCUUCUGGUCCAUCCAGCUUGUGCCCUCACCCUGUCCCAGGGCUGCGCUGCAAAGCGGAGGGCAGAACAACAACCUCCCCACCUUCAUGAAGGCAGUCUCUCCACACCGUGCAGGACUGGUAA